rnacentral:rRNA from 1 species
GCUCAGAUUGAACGCUGGCGGCAUGCCUUACACAUGCAAGUCGAACGGUAACAGGUCUUCGGAUGCUGACGAGUGGCGAACGGGUGAGUAAUACAUCGGAACGUGCCUAGUAGUGGGGGAUAACUACUCGAAAGAGUGGCUAAUACCGCAUGAGAUCUACGGAUGAAAGCAGGGGAUCGCAAGACCUUGUGCUACUAGAGCGGCCGAUGGCAGAUUAGGUAGUUGGUGGGAUAAAAGCUUACCAAGCCGACGAUCUGUAGCUGGUCUGAGAGGACGAUCAGCCACACUGGGACUGAGACACGGCCCAGACUCCUACGGGAGGCAGCAGUGGGGAAUUUUGGACAAUGGGCGCAAGCCUGAUCCAGCAAUGCCGCGUGCAGGAUGAAGGCCUUCGGGUUGUAAACUGCUUUUGUACGGAACGAAAAGCCCUGGGUUAAUACCCUGGGGUCAUGACGGUACCGUAAGAAUAAGCACCGGCUAACUACGUGCCAGCAGCCGCGGUAAUACGUAGGGUGCGAGCGUUAAUCGGAAUUACUGGGCGUAAAGCGUGCGCAGGCGGUUUUGUAAGACAGAGGUGAAAUCCCCGGGCUCAACCUGGGAACUGCCUUUGUGACUGCAAGGCUAGAGUACGGCAGAGGGGGAUGGAAUUCCGCGUGUAGCAGUGAAAUGCGUAGAUAUGCGGAGGAACACCGAUGGCGAAGGCAAUCCCCUGGGCCUGUACUGACGCUCA